CUACGGGGGGCAGCAGUGAGGAAUAUUGCACAAUGGGGGAAACCCUGAUGCAGCAACGCCGCGUGGAGGAUGACGCAUUUCGGUGUGUAAACUCCUUUUAUGAGUCAAGAAAAUGACGGUAGCUCAUGAAUAAGCACCGGCUAACUCGCGUGCCAGCAGCCGCGGUACUACGGAGGGUGCAAGCGUUACUCGGAAUCACUGGGCGUAAAGGACGCGUAGGCGGGCUUGUAAGUCAGGUGUGAAAUCCUACAGCUUAACUGUAGAACUGCACUUGAAACUACGAGCCUAGAGUAUGGGAGGGGCAGAUGGAAUUAGUGGUGUAGGGGUAAAAUCCGUAGAUAUCACUAGGAAUACCGAAAGCGAAGGCGAUCUGCUGGAACAUUACUGACGCUAAGGCGUGAAAGCGUGGGGAGCAAACGGGAUUAGAUACCCCGUAGUC
rnacentral:rRNA from 1 species